rnacentral:tRNA from 1 species
GUUUGCAUAGUUCAACAGGAUAGAAUAACCGCCUCCUAAGCAGUAGAUUUGGGUUCGAGUCCCAAUGCGAACA